GGAACUAAUUACAACGAGUAUAUGGGCCGUAUGUUAGGUAUAUGAUAGCGUUUACUAUCCAAUUAGUGGUUUGGUCCGGUAGUUCCUUCCCAGAUCGAGGUACCAAUACAGCGGCGGGGGUAUUUGGUAUAAUUAACACGGGAUUAUAUGGAUUUGGAACAUACCUUAUGUGCGUAGAGUCGAGGAGUAUAAUUAGGUUGUAAAUGGAGGGUGGGGGGUUCUACGUUCAUUUACAGUGUGCCUUUUUCUUUCUGAUUUCCUACGUGAAACAGGGUAGUAAAAUGCAAUUGUAGCUACAUGACAUUUUGUAACAUUAAAAUAGCAUAGUCUUGGUUUUAUCUGCAAAGUUUA